GACAAACGCUGGCGGCGUGCCUAACACAUGCAAGUCGAGCGUGAAAGGGGCUUCGGCCCUGAGUAAAGCGGCGAACGGGUGAGUAACACGUGGGCAACCUGCCUCAAGGACUGGGAUAACUCCGGGAAACCGGGGCUAAUACCGGGCGAUGUCGUCCCGCGCACGCGGGCCGACCAAAUGGUAGCUUCUGCCUCCGCCUUAAGAUGGGCCCGCGGCCUAGCAGCUUGUUGGUGGGGUAACGGCUCACCAAGGGUACGACGGGUAGCUGGUCUGAGAGGAUGAUCAGCCACACUGGGCGUGGGGUACGGCCCAGACUCCUACGGGAGGCAGCAGUGGGGAAUCUUGCGCAAUGGGCGAAAGCCUGACGCAGCAACGCCGCGUGAGCGAAGAAGGCCUUCGGGUUGUAAAGCUCUGUCAGGGGGAAAGAAGGCACCUGGGUUAAUAGCCCAAGGGUUGACGGUACCCCCAAAGGAAGCCACGGCUAACUUCGUGCCAGCCGCCGCAGUAAUAC
rnacentral:rRNA from 1 species